UCUUAUACGUAAUCCUUUUCGUGAGCGAUUGUCUCUACUCUCUCUCUCUCUCUGGAAUAAAGUAAAUACGGUAUGUUAUACAAAAACUGUCAACACUAUAUAUAGAUUAUAACUAACUUGUCUCACAAAACUUCCAAUAAUUUCUCUCUCUCUUUCUCUCUAAAGCUCUCUCCCUCUCUGAAUGUUUGAGUUGCAGGUGCUUAUUAAAAACAUGGCUUGGUGUUUAAAACAACGCGUGUUGCUCCCUGUUAUGGUGGUGUUAUUGUUGUUGGGAACAAGUCCUUCCAUAGCAGAGCUUCAGAAGCUGAAACACACUCCAACAAAAGCAGAUCAACCUCUGAACAUUCUGGUGGUCGGAGACUGGGGAAGAAAAGGAACCUAUAACCAGUCCUUGGUCGCUUAUCAGCCCAGAAUAGGCUGAGCUAAUAGGUCCAAGAGGCAGUUCUAAUUGGGUUGGUUGGCUAUCAUGCUGUCCCAAGGUAUGGAUUUUAUUUUUUGGAAUAAAAAAAAUUGUUGGGACACAUUUCUCAAGAAACGUAAGGUUUACUA